rnacentral:rRNA from 1 species
GACGAACGCUGGCGGCGUGCUUAACACAUGCAAGUCGAACGAUGAAGCUGGAGCUUGCUCUGGCGGAUUAGUGGCGAACGGGUGAGUAACACGUGAGAAAUCUGCCCUUGACUCUGGGAUAACUGCGGGAAACUGUAGCUAAUACCGGAUACUUUCCCUGGUGGGCAUCCACUGGGGAAGAAAGAAUUUCGGUCAAAGAUGAUCUCGCGGCCUAUCGGCUUGUUGGGGAGGUAAUGGUUCACGAAGGCGACGACGGGUAGCCGGCCUGGGAGGGUGACCGGCCACACGGGGACUGAGACACGGCCCAGACGCCUACGGGAGGCAGCAGUGGGGAAUAUUGCACAAUGGGCGCAAGCCUGAUGCAGCAACGCCGCGUGAGGGAUGAAGGCCUUCGGGUUGUAAACCUCUUUUAGCAGGGAAGAAGCGAAAGUGACGGUACCUGUAGAAAAAGCACCGGCUAACUACGUGCCAGCAGCCGCCGUAA